UUGCGGUUAAAAAGCUCGUAGUUGGAUUUCUGCAUGGAAGGAGACGGUCCACCCUUUGGGUGAGUUACUGCUACCUUUGGUGCAUCUUUCUGAGGGCGCGUUCUUCACUUAAUUGUGAGGGCGAUGAACUCAGAACUUUUACUUUGAGGAAAUGAGAGUGUUUCAAGCAGGCAAAUGCCUUGAAUACGUUAGCAUGGAAUAAUAGCAUCGGACCAUCGUCCAGCUGUUGGUGUCUGGGCGAAGGUAAAGGUGAAUAGGGAUUGUUGGGGGCAUAUCGAUAUUUAACUGUCAGAGGUGAAAUUCUUGGAUUUGUUGAAGACGGACCACUGCGAAAGCAUCUGCCAAAGAUGUUCUCAUUGAUCAAGAACGAAAGUUAGGUGAUCGAAGACGAUCAGAUACCGUCCUAGUCUUAACCAUAAUCUAUGCCGACUGGAGAUAGGAAGCGUAUAUCUUACGACUCUUUCU
rnacentral:rRNA from 1 species